ACGAAAUGCCAGUUACUACAAUAAAAAAGUGUGGAAACCAGAAUUCGAAGUAGGAUCUUUAGUCUUACGAAAGGUAUUCCUCAUUACAAAGGAGGUCGAAGAUGGAUCUUUAGACCCCAUCUGGGAGGGUCCCUACCCGGUAAUAAGGAUCAUGCCAAAAGGAGCAUAUAAAUUAGAAGAUUUGGGGAGUAGGCCUCUAACCCACCCUUGGAAUGCUAGACACCUGAGGUAAUACUAUCAGUGAACAUGGAAAGUCUUUCAUGGCAUGUAAAGCCAUCUGUAAUGUUGGUUGCAUCAAUAAAAGGAACCCCUUAUUCUGAAUGUCUUGCGCGAAGCCAAGCUAAUGUCGCAAGUGCUGUGACAAUUAUACGAAAUUCCUCUUAAAGAAUUAUUCAAAGCCCUGCUCUUGUGCAGGUCGAGCUAGGGUCGUAUAUGCUACGACACUUAGAUGAAAUUCCUCCUAAGGAAUAAUCCAAAGCCCUGCUCUUGUUCAGGCAGAGAUAAGGUCGUAUGUGCUACAACACUUAAACGAAAUUUUUCCUAAAGAACUCUUCAAAGCUUACUCGUGUGCAGGCCGAGCUAAGGUCAUAUGUUCUACGACAUUUAGACAAAAAAUUUCCUACGAAAUUAUUCAAAGCCCUGCUAUUGGUAGACCGAGCUAAGGUCAAAUAUGCUACGACACUUGGAUGAAAUUCCUCAUAAGGAAUUAUUUAAAGAUCCAUACGUAGGCCGAGCUAAGGUCACAAGUCCUGCGACACUUAGACGAGGUCCCUUCUAAAAUAUUUCUACAAUCCUUGUACUAUUGCAUCAUAACCACGAUGGAAAAAGAUGAGUUCAUUAUGAAGUUAGUAGAAUUA
rnacentral:lncRNA from 1 species